rnacentral:rRNA from 1 species
CAGUAGCCGCGGGAAAACGUAGGGUGCGAGCGUUAAUCGGAAUUACUGGGCGUAAAGCGUGCGCAGGCGGUGCUGCAAGACCGAUGUGAAAGCCCCGGGCUUAACCUGGGAACUGCAUUGGUGACUGCAGCGCUGGAGUAUGGCAGAGGGGGGUGGAAUUCCACGUGUAGCAGUGAAAUGCGUAGAGAUGUGGAGGAACACCGAUGGCGAAGGCAGCCCCCUGGGCCAAUACUGACGCUCAUGCACGAAAGCGUGGGGAGCAAACAGGAUUAGAUACCCCAGUAGUCACUGUCUCUUAUAC